GAGUUUUGCUAUUUGAAAAGGGUGUUUUGCUAUUUGAAAAGGGUGUUUUGCUAUUUGAAAAGGGUGUUUUGCUAUUUGAAAAGGGUGUUUUGCUAUUUGAAAAGGGUGUUUUGCUAUUUGAAAAGGGUGUUUUGCUAUUUGAAAAGGGAGUUUUGCUAUUUGAAAAGGGUGUUUUGCUAUUUGAAAAGGGUGUUUUGCUAUUUGAAAAGGGUGUUUUGCUAUUUGAAAAGGGUAUUUUGCUAUUUGAAAAGGGUGUUUUGCUAUUUGAAAAGGGAGUUUUGCUAUUUGAAAAGGGUGUUUUGCUAUUUGAAAAGGGUGUUUUGCUAUUUGAAAAGGGAGUUUUGCUAUUUGAAAAGGGAGUUUUGCUAUUUGAAAAGGGUGUUUUGCUAUUUGAAAAGGGUGUUUUGCUAUUUGAAAAGAGAGUUUUGCUAUUUGAAAAGGGAGUUUUGCUAUUUGAAAAGAGAGUUUUGCUAUUUGAAAAAAGAGUUUUGCUAUUUGAAAAGAGAGUUUUGCUAUUUGAAAAGGGAGUUUUGCUAUUUGAAAAGGGUGUUUUGCUAUUUGAAAAGGGUGUUUUGCUAUUUGAAAAGGGUGUUUUGCUAUUUGAAAAGGGAGUUUUGCUAUUUGAAAAGGGAGUUUUGCUAUUUGAAAAGGGUGUUUUGCUAUUUGAAGAGGGUGUUUUGCUAUUUGAAAAGGAUGUUUUGCUAUUUGAAAAGGGAGUUUUGCUAUUUGAAAGGGGCGUUUUGCUAUUUGAAAAGGGAGUUUCGCUAUUUGAAAAGGGUG
rnacentral:lncRNA from 1 species